GUGAGUAAAGCUUGGGCUAAUUUUCAUUUGAAAGUGAACUAAUCCUUUAAUAACAGAAACUCAAAAAUUGUUUGCAAAACUGUGGAAAUUCAAAAGUUUUUGUUGCUCUUUAACUUGCACUAAAACAUGAUUUAUACCAUCGAAGUAGCCUAUGAAAUAUAAAUAAAACUGCUCAUCUCCUUUAGUGAUACAAGCUCAAAAUAAUAAUCUGUUGAUGUUUUUCAUAUAGUGUCUUGACUUGGUGCAAUGAUGGAUAUUGAAAUCUUGUUAUUUAUUUUUAAUUUUAAACUGUAUAGAUGAUUAUUUUGUGGUAAUGCAAUAUUUGUGAACACAAUUGAAUCUCCAAAAACUAUGCAUGGGUGCUUGCUUUGGUGCUGCCACCCCUCAUAGACCUCAUGCCACCCUAUAAAUAAUUUUCUAGAUCCACCCCUGGCUAUGUUGACCCUGUCCAUCGUCGAAAUUGGUAUGUAAACGUAUGAACUGGACCUUGGAGCAGUGGAAGAAGGUCGCCUGGUCCGAUGAGUCCUGUUUACUUUUAAAACACGUGGACGGCCGCGUACGUGUGUGCUGUUUACUUGGGAAAGUGAUGGUACCAGGAUGCACUGUGGGGGGACGACAAGCCGAUGGAGGGAGUGUGAUGCUCUGGUCAGUGUUCUGCUGGGAAACCCUGGGUCUGGCCAUUCAUGUGGACGUACAUUUGACACGUGCCACCUACCUAAACAUUGUUGCAGACCAGGUACACCCCUUCAUGACAGUGGAGUUUCCUGGUGGAAGUGGCCUCUUUCAGCAGGAUAAUGCACCCCUGCCACACUGUACACAUUGUUGAGGAAUAGUUUGAUGAACAUGAUGAAGUGUUCAAGGUGUUGCCCUGGCCUCCAAAUUCCCCAGACCUCAAUCCAAUUGAGCAUCUGUGGAACAUGCUGCACAAGUUCGAGACACGGCGGCUCCACCUCACAUCCUACAGGACUUUUUGGAUGUGCUCCUAACAUCUUGGCAUCAGAUCCAACAGCACACCUUGCCUCAGUGGGUUGGCGCUGUUUUUGGCAGCACAAGGAGGACCAACAGCAUAUUAGAGGCCUAAUGGACGACAACAUGCUUUUCAGCGGAAAGCAGCACUCAAGACAAGAGGAGUCAGCUAAAUAGAUUGCACAAAGUAUGCUGGGAUUGUUUUUAACAUUACGUAACCGGUGCAGUUUUGAUGGCUGGUGCAGGCUUCUUGGCAGAUGAGGAGACAGGGAGGCAGGCCAGGCCUCAGGAGAUCUGACUGGGGUGGGAAGGAAUGAAAAAGCUCUCCAAGGAGCAGCGAGUCUGUAGUUACGAUGUCCCUCCCACUUACAUCAGUUCAGCGUGAAACACCCACAAACCUCACCUCAAGGGUUCCCCUAAAUCCCAGAAUUCAUGGAUUGCCCCUGAAUCAGCGGCAGCAAGCUCAAUCAUAGCUGUCACACACCCCCAUCAUCCUCAGCAGUGAAUAAUCCACUCACCAACAUG